UCGAGCGGCGGACGGGUGAGUAAUGCAUAGGAAUCUGCCCGGUAGUGGGGGAUAACCUGGGGAAACCCAGGCUAAUACCGCAUACGCCCUACGGGAGAAAGCAGGGGAUCUUCGGACCUUGCGCUAUCGGAUGAGCCUAUGUCGGAUUAGCUUGUUGGUGAGGUAAUGGCUCACCAAGGCGACGAUCCGUAGCUGGUCUGAGAGGAUGAUCAGCCACAUCGGGACUGAGACACGGCCCGAACUCCUACGGGAGGCAGCAGUGGGGAAUAUUGGACAAUGGGCGAAAGCCUGAUCCAGCCAUGCCGCGUGUGUGAAGAAGGCUUUCGGGUUGUAAAGCACUUUCAGUGAGGAAGAAGGCCUUGGGGCUAAUACCCCCGAGGAAGGACAUCACUCACAGAAGAAGCACCGGCUAACUCCGUGCCAGCAGCCGCGGUAAUACGGAGGGUGCGAGCGUUAAUCGGAAUUACUGGGCGUAAAGCGCGCGUAGGCGGCGUGAUAAGCCGGUUGUGAAAGCCCCGGGCUCAACCUGGGAACGGCAUCCGGAACUGUCAGGCUAGAGUGCAGGAGAGGAAGGUAGAAUUCCCGGUGUAGCGGUGAAAUGCGUAGA
rnacentral:rRNA from 1 species